rnacentral:lncRNA from 1 species
UCCCUUAUAGGGCCAUAGGAAGCCAUGGCAUGUUUCAACAAGGAGAAAGAAAUAUCUAAUCUGCGUUUUAGAAAGAUGAUCAUUUGUGGUGAAAGGUGAACCUUGUGAACACAUUUAAUGGAAUAAAACAUUUUGUGAGAGCUGUAGGCAGUUGUGAUUGCUCGAGUGCCUCUUCUGCAUCAUGGAACCAGGAUUGAAGAGAAGAGCUCAGCCCCAAAGGAGAGGAACAGAAUUGCUUCUGGAAGCACCAUGAGAGCUUCCACUCUCCGUGAGAAAAGAAUAGCAGAGGAGGAAACGGUGGCCCUGGAAAGAGCUUGCUGUCUGAGAGGCAAAGGAGGCUGGCGGACACAGAGCUAAGAAAGGUUAAAAAAAUCAUGCGUCCAAGAAGAGAAAAAGAAUACUGUUGAAUUCACUAUUGAAGUUUAGAAAUGAGAAGAAAGGGAUGAUGUGCUGCAGGGGGAGAGCUGAGAAGGAAUGCCAUUAGAACAGAAAGAGGAAUUUGGAUACAAGUACUGGAAGUCAUAUAGCAAUUUGGGAGCAGGGUUCUUAAACACACAUGCACAUAGACACACAUAUACAACCCUAUUUAGCAACCUGUCGGGAUUUCUCCAUGAGAUUCUUAUUCUCGCAGCUCUCAGGCUAGGCCCCAUUAUAGGAACUGAUCAUAAUUCAUCUACUUCAAGCCUAUUUAUAUGAUUUGCACAAGUUCACAAAAACUUUGCCAAUUUGCCUGUGAAAUGCACAUGUCAAUUACCCUUCAAUGGUUCAACAACCCAGGACCCUGAGCCCACUGGCAUUUCACAGAGCACUGAGAGACUUUGUCUUCAGUCCACCCCAAAGUACCCCAGCCCUGCCAUCAAUAAUAACACAAAUGAGUUUCCUCAGAGUCAGACCAGGAGUGUCAGCAGUGAAUUGUUGGGGAGAUCUGGGAACUCCCCAUGGCUCCAUGGGUGUUCCUGAAUUUCACUCUCCAGGCUAUCACUUUUUCCAAGUUUCUUUAUUGCUCCAUUACCAGGAAAAAAACAGGGUGUUAAAAAGAGCCAGGCUGCUCUCACACCCCAAAUGACCUGUAGCAGAGUCAGCAACAGGCCAAAACAUGCACAAGAGUGAAGACGUUUUUCUUCCCCAGAUUUCUCCCUGCUGCUUGUGAAGUUGGAAGCACUGUUGCUGGCUCAGCGGGAAGAGGCAACAGUUGUCUUGUGCACCUGUGCCCUAAAUCUCCUCUACUGGUGAUGAGCCCUUUACAUCUCCAGGGAUGCAAUUUCCCCUCCCUCAAGUUUCUCCCUUCCAAUAGAACUUGUGUGUAUGAAAGCUGAAUUAACCACAUUCCGACUUCAGGAAUGCAACGGUCUCUUUCAAAAUGUUUCCAAAACAAGGGAGCAAUGGCAGCUAUUAAUCCAAGAACUUAGAUCCAACAAUUCUCUCCAAAAAUACAAAAUAACAAUUUUCAGCCCAGCAAGAAUGUAUGACAAGUAAAUUGAUUUAUGAAAAUGCAUUAGCAUUUUACACAGAAAAAAAUAA